rnacentral:rRNA from 1 species
AAGCGUGCGCAGGCGGUUAUGUAAGACAGAUGUGAAAUCCCCGGGCUCAACCUGGGAACUGCAUUAGUGACUGCAUAGCUGGAGUACGGCAGAGGGGGAUGGGAAUUCCGCGUGUAGCAGUGAAAUGCGUAGAUAUGCGGAGGAACACCGAUGGCGAAGGCAAUCCCCUGGGCCUGUACUGACGCUCAUGCACGAAAGCGUGGGGAGCAAACAGGAUUAGAUACCCUAGU